CCCUUAGAUGUUCUGGGCCGCACGCGCGCUACACUGUUCGACGCAGCGAGUCUUAACCUUGACCGAAAGGUUUGGGUAAUCUUCAGCAAAGUCGAACGUGAUGGGGAUCGAUCAUUGCAAUUAUUGAUCGUGAACGAGGAAUUCCUAGUAAGUGCAAGUCAUCAGCUUGCGCUGAUUACGUCCCUGCCCUUUGUACACACCGCCCGUCGCUACUACCGAUUGAAUGGUUUAGUGAGAUCUCUGGAUUGACGCUGGCUAAGGGGCGACCCUUGGCCAGACUGUUGAGAAACUGCUCAAACUUGAUCAUUUAGAGGAAGUAAAAGUCGUAACA
rnacentral:rRNA from 1 species